rnacentral:rRNA from 1 species
CAUUAACAAACAACAACAUAUUGUAUGUAUAUACGAGCAAUGGGUGGGGGUAACAGCCUGCCGACGAACAAACACAGUUAUAGUAGUUUACAUUUAGAAUGUGUCUAAUACAACUUUUAACAAUGGAUCUCUUGGCUCUCGCAACGAUGAAGAACGUAGUGAAGUGCGAUAACUAGUGUGAAUUGCAUUACUUUGUGAAUCAUCGAGUCUUUGAACGCAUAUUGCACUAAGGGGACCUCCCCUUAGUAUGUCUGUUUGAGUAUCAUAAACACCCUCUUACCCAGAAGGAAAAGGUAGUGUGUGUGCGUGCGUGGCGGCGGAUCUGCGCGGCGAGAGCUGUGUGGGGGGCACCACUGACGCGCGCGCUACCCAAUCUGGAGGCGUAAGGAAGUGCGGCAUGCAGAGAAAGAGUGGGGGGGGGAAAGGAUAAGCAGGUUUCUGCUACUACUGACCAUGCCUCAUUCUUGAAUCGGCUGCUGUUAAAUAGGCGGACAGUGCCACCAAUGCCUUUGCGCGCGUCUCUUUCGGGAGGUGCGCGAUGGAUUCCGGGCGUCUUGUGCAUAGUGUGCUCUGCACUCAAAACACGAUGGUGCUUGGGAUCGACACAGGAGUGGGGGAUGUCGGACCGAGCCGAGGGGGGCGACCUUUUGGCUCACCACCUACUAUUGAUCUCAAAUCAGGCAAGAGUACCCGCUGAACUUAA